UUCAAAGACAUUGAUGAAAAAGUCACCAAAAGUGUGGAUUUAGAGUUCAUGGUUUCACAAAUGAAUGGCGAUCAAACGAGAAUAUUAUGGAACAACAAUUACUUAAAAAGUGAAGCCACAAUUAUGGAAAUUUGAAAAAACUACAGAAAUAACAAAAUACGCCAAGCUCAUUGAUUGAAUUUACCAGUGGAGAAAGCUGGUGAUAAUAGGAGUCCAUAAACCGUUUUGAGUUCUCUAUAAAUAUUUUGACUAAGACGAGUCCCAUCAUAUUCUACAAAGGACAUCGCAGUCAAAUCAAAUACUCGACUCAAAUCGAAAGGGGUAAAAAGUCCAUUGUGAAUCAAAAAAUUAUUCAGCCAUAUGGUCAGGAUCAACGUACUUGGCGUGGUUUGUCCUGAUGACCUAGCCUAUUUGGAUAUGCGAUCUUUCCUUUUUUCGUUAAAAACCGCCCGUGAGACUUGACCUGAGCAGUGCUGACCCGUAUAGCACUGCUGACUGAGAAGUUUGCACAAUGACUAACGAUCCCAGUAUUUGGAAGAAUUUUCCGUGCAAUGUUUGUGGUUGUUACGUUGAGAAGCUAUGAGUGAUGGAGGUCAAUGAAAAAAAAGUGUCAAAGUCAUUCACCAAUUUCGAAAAAGCGGUCGAAUUUCACAAUUUACUCAAAAAUGUUACAUGUCGUCGUUAGUCAUGCCCUGAAUCGUGUGAGCUGCUAAAUGUACCAAAUAGGAAUUUGGUGCAUUUAGCAAAUGUACCAAAUAGGAAUUUGGUACAUUUAGUAGCGAUUGUUGGUUCAUUGAAUUUAAAAAGUCACGAAAGUGCUCUCUUCAUCAAUUACCAACAACAAUUGUGAUUGAAUGUACAUUCAGAUUAGCAGGGGUAAUAACUCGGAAGAAUAAUAGAUAUGUUGUCUAUUGUUUACUAGACGGACAAUGGUCGUUGUAUGAUAACAACUGCACCGUGAUCCAGACACCGUCCACCGUAGACAUUGGACUACUUUGUAUGAUAUACAUACUCGAGUCAUAACGUGGCAGAUCGCAAUUGUAUGAAAAUCGCAAUACCAGUCCUCAAAGGUCCAGUCGACCCCUUUGCCAAUGUCUGGUUACUACCAACUUCAUCGGUAACAGGAAUUCGAGAUUUGAACGACUACAAAGAGAACCAGGUCCCAGCUGCAUUGGCUUCGUUGCAACAUUUUCUGCAUCUUUCAAAUUCAAUGAAGUUAAGGGUGAUACGUAGGAGAGAUGUACCAGUUGAAUAAAUGU